rnacentral:rRNA from 1 species
UGGGGAAUAUUGCACAAUGGGGGAAACCCUGAUGCAGCCAUGCCGCGUGUGUGAAGAAGGCCUUCGGGUUGUAAAGCACUUUCAGUCGGGAGGAAAGGUGGCUAGCUAAUAUCUAGUUGCUGUGACGUUACUGACAGAAGAAGCACCGGCUAACUCCGUGCCAGCAGCCGCGGUAAUACGGAGGGUGCAAGCGUUAAUCGGAAUUACUGGGCGUAAAGCGCACGCAGGCGGCUUGUUAAGUCAGAUGUGAAAGCCCCGGGCUCAACCUGGGAACUGCAUUUGAAACUGACAAGCUAGAGUCUUGUAGAGGGGGGUAGAAUUCCAGGUGUAGCGGUGAAAUGCGUAGAGAUCUGGAGGAAUACCGGUGGCGAAGGCGGCCCCCUGGACAGAGACUGACGCUCAGGUGCGAAAGCGUGGGGAGCAAACA